AUUAUUAGUGUGAAUGCUUGAAAAGCAUUCACAGUAUUGUUCUUCUAAUCUUUAUUAUUAGUGUGAAUGCUUGAAAAGCAUUCACAGUAUUGUUCUUCUAAUCUUUAUUAUUCUAUUUUAUUAUCUAUUCCGUACGUUUUUUGUACUCCUACUCCUUCAAAACCGUUCAACUUAGAAAAACCAUUCAAACACCGUUAGAUUCCUAUUCUUUUGGACAUGACUGCUUCUACUUUUCUCAUUUUUAACAUUUAUAUUUUUAAUUUUAUUCAACUUUAUUCAACAAAAAUUUCCCAUGUAUUUCAAUGGGGAGACCCUUCAAAUUCUCAUUCAACUUACUCAUUUUUAAACUCUUACUACUUCCACAUACGUUGACAUAGAGCCACCAUUCAAACUUUAAAACGAAGACAAGACAUUCAACUAUUCAACUUGUAUUUAUCUUUUCAAUAUCUAUUAUACUUUUUCUUCAGUUCCAGUUUAAGUUUCAUGAUGUUUUUUCACCCGUUUCAGAGUUUAUAAUGG